rnacentral:rRNA from 1 species
UACGUAGGGGGCAAGCGUUGUCCGGAUUUAUUGGGCGUAAAGAGCGUGUAGGCGGCCAUACAGGUCCGUUGUGAAAACUGGAGGCUUAACCUCCAGACGUCGAUGGAAACCGUAUGGCUAGAGUCCGGAAGAGGAGAGUGGAAUUCCUGGUGUAGCGGUGAAAUGCGCAGAUAUCAGGAAGAACACCCGCGGCGAAGGCGGCGCUCUGGGACGGUACUGACGCUGAGACGCGAAAGCGUGGGGAGCGAACAGG